UUGCAUUAGAAUUAGACUCUAUUUAAACUAAAAUAACCCCUUCUAACAUAAUUUUAACAAUA
rnacentral:tRNA from 1 species